rnacentral:misc_RNA from 1 species
GUUUUGAAUUGAACUCGUCUCUUUCUUCCUCUCUAACAUCAUCAAUGGCGUCUCCUUAAACAUCAAAAAUGGAAAAAGAUUCAAUCUUUAUCCACGUGAAAUCAAAUUAUCUUCUCUCCCUCUUUUGCUCUCUAAACAAAUGCCAAGCGUAAUUGCCAAACUCUAUAGCGUUUUCUUCAAAUAUCACCAAAAGCACCUUCUGCAGAGCCUGUCACAACCUCCUUUCAGCGAUAAAGCGGGCCCUUUUGGCUUAACCUCUCGGCCCCAUGAAUCUAUUGCCCCCAGCAAUCCUUUAUUCACUGACGGUGUCGCCACCAAGGACAUCCACGUCGACCCCUUUUCUUCUCUCUCUCUCCGCAUCUUCCUCCCUGAAACUGCUCUCGCUUCCCCAUUGGCUACUCGCCGUGAUUACUAUGUACCCACUUAUGGAGGGUAUUCGCCGCCGGCGGGUAAGUUCAACAGGAAGUUGCCUGUGAUGUUGCAGUUUCACGGAGGUGGGUUUGUGAGUGGGAGCAAUGAGUCGGUGGCAAACGAUGCUUUUUGCAGGAGGAUAGCCAAGUUGUGCGACGUAAUUGUUGUUGCUGUUGGGUAUAGAUUGGCACCUGAGAGUAAGUACCCGGCUGCUUUUGAAGAUGGCCUCACGGUUUUGAAUUGGUUGGCCAAGCAGGCAAAUUUGGCUUCUUGUAGGAGAUUGAGUCUUCAAAGCCGUAUUUUUGAUAGCUUUGGCGCUUCCAUGCUUGAGCCUUGGCUUGCAGCUCAUGGAGACCCUUCCAGGUGUGUAUUACUUGGGGUGAGCUCUGGUGCAAAUAUAGCAGAUUAUGUGGCAAGAAAGUCUGUAGUGGCAGGCAAGCUAUUGGAUCCUGUUAAGGUUGUGGCCCAAGUACUGAUGUACCCUUUCUUCAUUGGAAGCACCCCCACACGUUCUGAAGUUAAGCUGGCAAACUCAUACUUCUAUGACAAGGCUAUGUGCAAACUGGCAUGGAAACUCUUCCUACCUGAAGAAGAAUUCAACCUAGAUCAUCCAGCUGCCAACCCUCUCCUCCGUGGGAGACAACCACCUCUUAAGUACAUGCCGCCAUCGCUAAUAGUUGUGGCAGAACAUGACUUUAUGAGAGACCGGGCCAUUGCUUACUCAGAAGAACUACGGAAAGUUAAUGUGGAUGCGCCCCUCCUUGAUUACAAGGAUGCAGUGCAUGAAUUUGCUACACUUGAUGUGCUUCUCCAGACACCGCAGGCCAAAGCAUGUGCAGAGGAUAUCUCUAUAUGGGUGAAGAAGUAUGUAUCUCUUAGAGGCCAUGAGUUCUCUUACUGAAUGAAUACGAAAGGUAAAAACAGAUUAUGAUGGGAAAAGAUUUGUUUUAUUGGCGUAGAAGCACGGUUACCCCUUUGUCAUUUAUGAUGUUGGAGAGGAGCAGCAUUCUUGUAAAUAUGCUGGGGAUAAUAGCUUCCAGCCAGUUUUCCAUUAGUUACUACUUAUGUGAGGAUUUGUUUCCUUUCUUGUAAAGAAUAUAGUGUUUAUCAGAACUUGGGAUUUUCUGGAAUUUUAGAUUGUUGUUCCCUAUAUAUACUACAAACAUUCUUUUUUCAACUCUUCAUUUCAUUGUUUAGUUGUAUCGGGUAAUAAAACAAAAGA